CACGAGACAUGUCCCAGGAUUCUUAAUGAUAGACAGAUAGGGUUAUAAGUUAUAAUAGGUUAUAGUUAUAAAUACAAUAAAGUCAAACUUACUCUGAACUAUCCGUGAUUAAAAAAAAAAAAAAUCUAAUUCAACUCACUUUUAAAAAAAAGAAGAAGAAGAGGAAUGAGUCUGUCCUGGUGGCUCACCUGCAACGCUGAAUUCACAGUUUCUGGUUUAUAAGAUCUUUAUUCCAGUCUUUAUUCUGCCGACUGUCAAAUAAAGUCUAAAUGUGGAGUCAAGCUUCAUUUUAAAAGCCACGUGAGUGACAUUAGUUCACGGCACCGCCUGUACAUUCUGUUUCUUUGGUUUCAUAAAAUGACCUCUCUCUGUGAAGUGUGUAAUAGAGAUUGCAGACCACAAGAUGGCACUCAUCCAGUUCACAUCUUAAAAAUGUAAUGGCUGCUUUGCUCCAUAUUGAACAACAGGCUGUCGUGAUCACUUCACCGCGGAUGAGGAUAUUAAUUACCCUAUCAGUGCACAAAACGGGACUUAGGGGAUGGCCAGAGGACUCCUUGAGUUAGCUGGAAGUUCUUGACCUGUUGCCUACCUUAGGUCAAGUGAACAGCAUCCAAGAAUACGGAACAAACUCUCAGGAACCUGAUGACGAACAGGCAGAUGACUGAAAGACACGACUUCAGACCAUUUAAAGUCUGUUUUUUUUUUUAUUAAAAGUUCUUGUUUGCACAUAAGCACAGCCUGGAUAAGAAUUGUGUUAUAGUAAUACACUAUGGUCUUGUAAAAUAUAAAUGCUUCAAUUUAGUCUUGGCUUUAUAACACAAAGGGGACAUGGUUCUGAAGAGGAAUUGCGGGAAAAUAUGCCAUAAAUACCAGGUACUGGAGCAGUUCUAUGGAACUAAUUACCAUAUAGAGAGUUUGAAAGCAAAGAACGCAGUGAAAUCAUAAUCUUGAGUUUCUUUUUAUGGCAAUGUGCCUGUAUGACCAUGUCAUUCAUUAAAUUGAAAAACGUACGACUACUUCUUUGAUCGCUUUCCAAUCACAUAGUAGUUAUGUAGAAUGUCCAUGAAAAUGCUAUACGCAGCAGUUCUCCUUAACUUAACCAGAAGAAUUUUAACAUGCAGAAACCAAUGCUUGCAAACAUGGUCAUACUUCAAUGCUUGAGAUAUAAACUUUGUCUUU
rnacentral:lncRNA from 1 species